CUUAUAUCUGUGUUACAUAUGAUUAAGACCUAGCUCCAUGAUUUGCCUUCAUGAGGACAGGGAUUAUGCACGGGGUUUCACUGCGUUAGCCAGAAUGGUCUCGAUCUCCUGACCGCAUGACCGGCCCGCCUCGGCCUCCCAAAGUGCUGGGAUUACAGGCAUGAGCCACCGCACCUGGCACCUUAUAAUCUUAGAAGCCUUGGAUACCAAAAUUAAUUAAUAGUGCUUCCCAUGCUUCAUAUAUAGGAAAGAUUGAUUCUCUAUAGGUCACUUUUCCAGAGUGAGUUUUCCAAAUUAAAGAGAAAAAAAGCCUGAUUAAGCUUUUAUCAACUAAUAAUUCUCCACAUUAAUCCAUGGGAUAAAUAUUAGAAUUAGAAUACCUGGCUAUUCAAUUGUCAGUUCUUUUUUACUAAACAGAAACUUUGAGAUGUGUUAUUUUAGAAAGGCUCGAUAGUGACAGAACUUUUCUCUUAAACUUACAGUGGCCCUGAAAUUUGCUACCACUGACUUUAACCAUACAUAUUAAAGGUGUAAGGAGAUUGAGAUAUGUGACAGAUUCCAUUUCCCAAGGAUGGUCACACACUAUAUCCCACCCCAUAUGCUCUUACAAGGUAAUGUUGAUACUCCUCCUGUCAAGGGGAUAGGAUUUAUAUUUCUUUUCCUUGAUCUAAGAGGCUUGUGACCAUGGUAGAAGUGUCCCUACAUGACUUCUGGGGUUAAGUCAGAAAAGGUGAUAUAGCUCUGUCUAGUGCUUUUGGACGCUUGAUCUCAAAACCCAACCACCAUGUUGUGAGGAAGCUCAGCCACAUAGCUGGAUGUGGGUGUUCCAGACUGCCACUUUGACUGAGAUCCCAGAUGAUAGC
rnacentral:lncRNA from 1 species